rnacentral:tRNA from 1 species
UACAUUUAGUUGUAUUAGCAUGUAAAUUUUUGAAGUUUAAGGUAAUAAUUGAUUUUGUUAAAUGUAU